UACGUAGGGCGCAAGCGUUGUCCGGAUUUAUUGGGCGUAAAGAGCUCGUAGGUGGUUCGUUGCGUCUGCCGUGAAAUCCUAUGGCUUAACUGUGGGCGUGCGGUGGAUACGGGCGGACUUGAGGUAGGUAGGGGAGAAUGGAAUUCCCGGUGUAGCGGUGAAAUGCGCAGAUAUCGGGAGGAACACCGGUGGCGAAGGCGGUUCUCUGGGCCUUACCUGACGCUGAGGAGCGAAAGCGUGGGGAGCGAACAGGAUUAGAAACCCCAGUAGUCC
rnacentral:rRNA from 1 species